AUCAACCUAUAUGCAAAUUUUUAAGUAAAUGUUCAGCAGGAUCUCUAUGCUAUUGGUUUCUUCAGUUUACUUGCAAGUUCUAGUAAAAAAGUUGCGUACACAUCCUAGCCACUACUCACCUCUGGCGCCCCCACCUGUAUUCCUUCGGCAGAGCAGAUCGCGUGGAUCGGGAGGUGUGCGAGAAAUGGUGGCGCUGGCGUGGUGGGGCCGCGAGGCUCGCCAUGUUGGAGCUCAUCCGCCUCUAGCUGUCGACGACGGUUGUGGGAACCCCUGGUCGCCGUCGGGUGGCACUGUCUGCACGGCCUCUAGCAGUUCGACAAGCGCGCGUCCCUCAGUUCUAGGACGACGAGCCAGGCAGCCGCCCUCUUUGUGACCUGCUGAUUUCCUCCCCUUGCACUGGCGGACUGAUGAUGCGGGAGCCGCCCUCUUCACUCCAGCGGGCUUCUCGUACCGCCGCUGCUGCUAGUAAUGUUGCAGUGACAGAGAACUUGGUGCUGAGGAAUGGAGCGCAAGUAUGGAUGGUGCUUCCGUAAUCUUAGGCGAGCUUGCAAAUCUGUAGCACCCCUGGUGAUUUUAGUAGUGCUAUUAGUCAUGGAGUGAACAUGGACAGAUGAAUGCGUUGCUAAAUAGGGCUUCUGAAUUUCCCUUCGUAUUCAGGUUGCAAAAAUGUUCUUGUAUGAGUACAAGCUAGUCGAUCGAUCUAUCCAUUGGAUUCAGUCCAGAUGCUAGCUUAUUCUUGGCAAGUCUUGAUUUGGAGGAAAAAAUCAUGUUGACUAGCUGUUGUUAUGCCUCAAAGCAGAGACUUUAUCUUACAAUUUGAUAUCUAAUGAUGGUUUAUAAUUCUCUAAAUUUAUUUAUCCUUAUGCUCUAUUACUAGAACAUCCUUUACUUGUUUUCUGAAUUGCUAUUUGUUACUGUAAUUAAAAAUGGCAGCUUGCCAUGAAAGUGUUCUAUGAUAUGCUAGAUGUACAUCAGAAGUACUAGGUGUCUGACCUUGUGAAAAAUCUUUUUUGGUGGACAAACACAUGAGCAACACCGGUGGGGGUUUGAAGAAAAGUGAGGACGGCGUCAGCGAAGCGCCAUGUAGUUCACCUGCUCCUGCAUGACAACAUGAGUUGGAGUAGUUCAGCCCAGGCGCAUCGGCGGCGACGCCCACCAUCUAGCGCCUUGGAGAUCUGACACCUGAUGGAGCUCUUCACAUGCUGCUCUCCGACGCAUGCGUGCGUUGUUUCCACUAGAGUGUCUGGUGAAUGUUAAGAAUGUUUCAGAUAACUACAUCAGUGGCUAAAACAUGAACAUAUGAAAUAUGUACUCCCUCCGUUCCUAAAUAUUUGUCUUUCUAGAUAUU